rnacentral:rRNA from 1 species
AUUGAACGCUGGCGGCAUGCUUUACACAUGCAAGUCGAACGGCAGCACGGGGGCAACCCUGGUGGCGAGUGGCGAACGGGUGAGUAAUGCAUCGGAACGUGCCCUGUCGUGGGGGAUAACACAUCGAAAGAUGUGCUAAUACCGCAUACGACCUGAGGGUGAAAGCGGGGGACCGUAAGGCCUCGCGCGAUAGGAGCGGCCGAUGUCGGAUUAGCUAGUUGGUGGGGUAAAGGCCUACCAAGGCGACGAUCAGUAGCGGGGCUGAGAGGACGACCAGCCACACGGGGACGGGGACACGGCCCAGGCUCCUACGGGAGGCAGCAGUGGGGAAUUUUGGACAAUGGGGGCAACCCUGAUCCAGCCAUGCCGCGUGCGGGAAGAAGGCCUUCGGGUUGUAAACCGCUUUUGGCAGGAACGAAACGGUGCGGGCGAAUACCCUGUGCUAAUGACGGUACCUGCAGAAUAAGCACCGGCUAACUACGUGCCAGCAGCCGCCGUAAAAC